AGAGUUUGAUCCUGGCUCAGGACGAACGCUGGCGGCGUGCUUAACACAUGCAAGUCGAACGAGACGAUUGAAAGCUUGCUUUUGAAAGUCGAGUGGCAAACGGGUGAGUAACGCGUAGACAACCUGCCGUAAAGAUGGGGACAACAGUCCGAAAGGACUGCUAAUACCGAAUGUUGUGGAACUUCCGCAUGGGAGCUCCAUUAAAGAUGGCCUCUACUUGUAAGCUAUCGCUUUACGAUGGGUCUGCGUCUGAUUAGCUAGUUGGUGGGGUAACGGCUUACCAAGGCGACGAUCAGUAGCCGGUCUGAGAGGAUGAACGGCCACAUUGGAACUGAGACACGGUCCAGACUCCUACGGGAGGCAGCAGUGGGGAAUCUUCCGCAAUGGGCGCAAGCCUGACGGAGCAACGCCGCGUGAGUGAAGAAAGGGUUUCGACUCGUAAAGCUCUGUUGUCGGGGACGAAUGUGGAGGUUGUGAAUANCAGCUUCCAAUGACGGUACCUGACGAGGAAGCCACGGCUACUACGUGCCAGCAGCGCGNAAUACGUAGGUGGCGAGGCGUUGUCCGGAAUNUUGGGGCGUAAAGGGAGCG
rnacentral:rRNA from 1 species